UACGAAGGGAGCUAGCGUUGUUCGGAAUUACUGGGCGUAAAGCGUGCGCAGGCGGCUUUGUAAGUCAGAUGUGAAAUCCCCGGGCUUAACCUGGGAACUGCGUUUGAAACUACAAGGCUAGAGUGUGGCAGAGGGGGGUGGAAUUCCACGUGUAGCAGUGAAAUGCGUAGAGAUGUGGAGGAACACCGAUGGCGAAGGCAGCGCCCUGGGUUAACACUGACGCUCAGGUACGAAAGCGUGGGGAGCAAACAGG
rnacentral:rRNA from 1 species